UACGAAGGGGGCGAGCGUUGUUCGGAUUUACUGGGCGUAAAGGGCGCGCAGGCGGCUCAUUUUGUCAGGCGUGAAAGCCCCGGGCUUAACCUGGGACUGCGUUUGAUACGGAUGGGCUAGAGUUCGGGAGAGGAGAGUGGAAUUCCCGAGUGUAGAGGUGAAAUUCGUAGAUAGUUGGGAAGAACACCGGUGGCGAAGGCGGCUCUCUGGACCGAUACUGACGCUGAGGCGCGAAAGCGUGGGGAGCAAACAGG
rnacentral:rRNA from 1 species